CCUACGGGAGGCAGCAGUGGGGAAUUUUGGACAAUGGGCGCAAGCCUGAUCCAGCAAUGCCGCGUGAGUGAAGAAGGCCUUCGGGUUGUAAAGCUCUUUUGUCAGGGAAGAAACGGUUGGGGCUAAUAUCCUCGGCUAAUGACGGUACCUGAAGAAUAAGCACCGGCUAACUACGUGCCAGCAGCCGCGGUAAUACGUAGGGUGCAAGCGUUAAUCGGAAUUACUGGGCGUAAAGCGUGCGCAGGCGGUUUUGUAAGUCUGUCGUGAAAGCCCCGGGCUUAACCUGGGAAUUGCGAUGGAGACUGCAAGGCUUGAAUCUGGCAGAGGGGGGUAGAAUUCCACGUGUAGCAGUGAAAUGCGUAGAGAUGUGGAGGAACACCGAUGGCGAAGGCAGCCCCCUGGGUCAAGAUUGACGCUCAUGCACGAAAGCGUGGGGAGCAAACAGGAUUAGAUACCCUGGUAGUCCACGCCCUAAACGAUGUCUACUAGUUGUCGGGUCUUAAUUGACUUGGUAACGCAGCUAACGCGUGAAAGUAGACCGCCUGGGGAGUACGGUCGCAAGAUUAAAACUUAAAGGAAUUGACGG
rnacentral:rRNA from 1 species